GGUUCCGUAGAGUAGUGGUUAGCACGUCUGCUUUGCAUGCAGAAAGUCCUGGGUUCAAACCCCAGCAGAGCCA
rfam:Pteropus alecto contig45212, whole genome shotgun sequence.